GAUGAACGCUGGCGGCGUGCCUAAUACAUGCAAGUCGAGCGAACGGACGAGAAGCUUGCUUCUCUGAUGUUAGCGGCGGACGGGUGAGUAACACGUGGAUAACCUACCUAUAAGACUGGGAUAACUUCGGGAAACCGGAGCUAAUACCGGAUAAUAUUUUGAACCGCAUGGUUCAAAAGUGAAAGACGGUCUUGCUGUCACUUAUAGAUGGAUCCGCGCUGCAUUAGCUAGUUGGUAAGGUAACGGCUUACCAAGGCAACGAUGCAUAGCCGACCUGAGAGGGUGAUCGGCCACACUGGAACUGAGACACGGUCCAGACUCCUACGGGAGGCAGCAGUAGGGAAUCUCCCGCAAUGGGCGAAAGCCUGACGGAGCAACGCCGCGUGAGUGAUGAAGGUCUUCGGAUCGUAAAACUCUGUUAUUAGGGAAGAACAUAUGUGUAAGUAACUGUGCACAUCUUGACGGUACCUAAUCAGAAAGCCACGGCUAACUACGUGCCAGCAGCCGCGGUAAUACGUAGGUGGCAAGCGUUAUCCGGAAUUAUUGGGCGUAAAGCGCGCGUANGCGGUUUUUUAAGUCUGAUGUGAAAGCCCACGGCUCAACCGUGGAGGGUCAUUGGAAACUGGAAAACUUGAGUGCAGAAGAGGAAAGUGGAAUUCCAUGUGUAGCGGUGAAAUGCGCAGAGAUAUGGAGGAACACCAGUGGCGAAGGCGACUUUCUGGUCUGUAACUGACGCUGAUGUGCGAAAGCGUGGGGAUCAAACAGGAUUAGAUACCCUGGUAGUCCACGCCGUAAACGAUGAGUGCUAAGUGUUAGGGGGUUUCCGCCCCUUAGUGCUGCAGCUAACGCAUUAAGCACUCCGCCUGGGGAGUACGACCGCAAGGUUGAAACUCAAAGGAAUUGACGGGGACCCGCACAAGCGGUGGAGCAUGUGGUUUAAUUCGAAGCAACGCGAAGAACCUUACCAAAUCUUGACAUCCUUUGACAACUCUAGAGAUAGAGCCUUCCCCUUCGGGGGACAAAGUGACAGGUGGUGCAUGGUUGUCGUCAGCUCGUGUCGUGAGAUGUUGGGUUAAGUCCCGCAACGAGCGCAACCCUUAAGCUUAGUUGCCAUCAUUAAGUUGGGCACUCUAAGUUGACUGCCGGUGACAAACCGGAGGAAGGUGGGGAUGGCGUCAAAUCAUCAUGCCCCUUAUGAUUUGGGCUACACACGUGCUACAAUGGACAAUACAAAGGGCAGCGAAACCGCGAGGUCAAGCAAAUCCCAUAAAGUUGUUCUCAGUUCGGACUGUAGUCUGCAACUCGACUACAUGAAGCUGGAAUCGCUAGUAACCGUAGAUCAGCAUGCUACGGUGAAUACGUUCCCGGGUCU
rnacentral:rRNA from 1 species